rnacentral:rRNA from 1 species
UACGUAGGGACCAAGCGUUGUCCGGAAUCAUUGGGCGUAAAGCGCGCGUAGGUGGCUUCGUAAGUCCGUUGUGAAAGUCAAAGGCUCAACCUUUGAAAGCCGAUGGAUACUGCGGAGCUAGAGUACGGAAGAGGCGAGUGGAAUUCCUGGUGUAGCGGUGGAAUGCGCAGAUAUCAGGAGGAACACCAAUAGCGAAGGCAGCUCGCUGGGACGUUACUGACACUGAAGCGCGAAAGCGUGGGGAGCGAACAGG